UAGGGAAAAACUUUAAAAAUGGUGUAUUACGAAAAGCUUGCGCUUUUAACUUUUAUAAAAACAUCUUUGUAAAAGGGCUACUUGGUGGGAAAAUGCUGCGGGUCUGUUUCUUUAGAUAAGAAAAAACAGAUAAUAGGAAGGGUGGAAAGAAGGGGGAGCUGGCUCUUGCUUAAAGUCUUGAGACACUAGGAUUGGUUCAGGAAAAUGAAUUCUAUGACGCUGUUGUAAAACUACCUCUGACUGGUCCGAUCCAAAGGCGGUGAUAACAAGCCUAAGAGGGUUUGAACCAGGAAAGCUGCCUCAUUCUGCAGAAAGACGGGAAAAGGGUUAAACCAAAAAAGCUACCUCGUUUUACAAAAAGACUGCAAAGGUAAAC